AUGCCGGUCACUGCGCUCGGUGGUGGGUAGGCAUACUGGAACUGGGGGUACUGCUGCAGCUGCUGGUAGUACUCCGCAUAGUACCUAUGAGAAGGGAGUGGGGGGGGGGGGGUUAAGGUAAGGAGAGGAGGGUUUAGGUAGGAAGAGGAACAGGAUAGGUGACACAGUGGGGGUAACAAAAGAGUGAUAAAGUGAAAAAGAAACCACAAUAAAGUAUUAUCUAACCAUGAGAAAUGUGCCUUCAAGAUUGUAAAGGACUAAAAACAAGCA